CCCUUAGAUGUUCUGGGCCGCACGCGCGCUACACUGAUGAAUUCAACGAGCUCCUAACCUAGGCCGAAGGGUCCGGGUAAUCUUUGAAAUUUCAUCGUGAUGGGGAUAGAUUAUUGCAAUUAUUAAUCUUCAACGAGGAAUUCCUAGUAAGCGCGAGUCAUCAGCUCGCGUUGAUUACGUCCCUGCCCUCUGUACACACCGCCCGUCGCUCCUACCGAUUGAAUGGUCCGGUGAAAUGUUCGGAUCGCGGCAAAUCGGACGGGUAACCGUCAGGUUCGCUGCGAGAAGUUCAUUAAACCUUAUCAUUUAGAGGAAGGAGAAGUCGUANCA
rnacentral:rRNA from 1 species